GGCCACACCCACAGCAUAUGGAGGUUCCCAGGCUAGGGACCCAGUUGGAAUUACAGCUGUGGGCCUAUGCCACAGCCACAGCCACGUCAGAUCCAAGCUACAUCUGCGACUUACACCACAGUUCUCAGCAGUGCUGGAUCCUUAACCCACGGAGCGAGGCCAGGGAUCAAACCUGCAUCCUCAUGGAUUAUAGUCAGAUUCAUUAACCACUGAGUCACGAUGGAAACUCCCAUUGAUGUGUAAGUUUUUAAAAAGAUUUUCAUGAAUAUCAUACCGAACAUACAUUAAGUAUCACCCUGUACAUUUUUUACAUUAAGUGAUGUAUUUCAGAUCCCACUGUUAGUUUGUUCUUUUAAGCAUCCCAUUAUAUAGAUACUCGAGUCAUCCAUUUCUUAAGGGAUGGGCAGGCUGAUGAUUUACACUGUUUCUAUUGCGGACAGAGUGGAAGUGGUAUAUCCCCUCUGUGCACAUGUUCACAAUGUUCUUUAGAGUGUGUGGUGUGCAUGUGUAUGUAGGUACAUAUUUUGUAUGUUUAUAAAUCAAAGCAGAAUUACAGGGUCAUAGGGAAUACACACAUGAGUUGCAAGUAUAUUAUCAACGAAUAUUUCUCCAGCAAUUCAUGAUAAUUUUCCUUUCUUUAUUCCCUCAGCAGCACUUGAUCUUGCCACACCAUGAAAUGUUUGCUAGUCAGAUGUGUGAGAAAUUGUGUUUCUCAUUACUAUUUCAGUUUGAAUGCCCCAGAUUAUUAAGGUUGGGGAUAUGCUUAUCAGGCAUUUAAGACUGAUCUUAUGUGAAUUGCCUGGACACUCCCUUUACUCAUUUCUCCGCAUAUUUUUUGUCUUUUACUUACUGAUAGAGUGUUUCCUUGGAUACUUAUCCUUUGUUACACAUGACGAAAGUAUCUUUGAUUCUCUGGGUGAUCUCAUAACCAACAUCUGUUGUUACAGACCUGCUUUUUGUGCUUUUCUUUUUUAAUAUAUAUUCGCUUUAAGUUGUGAAGUAGUGAAAUUUACCAAUCUCAUUGUUUAUAUGGUAUUUUUUGGGGUUAUAUGUAUGAAUUUCCCUGUAACCUAUUUUAAGAGCAGUUAGAUAUUCUCCCAUGAGUUCCUGUGAUGAUUUUAAGGUUUGGUUUUUGACAUUUAGGUUCUUCCAAGGUUCUAAAUUAUACAUUUUAUUCCCUUCCCCUUCGUACUCAAAAAUGAUUUAUGCCUCACUCGGCCCCGGGUAAAGCUGUCCUUCCUUUUCCUGCCCGCCCCCCUUUCCUUCUCUUUCAUAAGUCUUUGUACCAUGAAUCCUAUUCUACACGAGGAGUCCUUAGCCAAAGCUUUUGUCUUAGUUCAUAUACGUAUUCUUAGUUCCCAGUGUAGUACCUAAAACAGAAUAGGUACUGAUGGAGAAGUGUACUAGCACAGUUUUAGGUGUAAUGAGGGGAACAGAGUGUUAAACUCAUGAGAGUAACACUGUCUUCUCAGCAAGGUGAGACAUCCCUGAAAUGGCCUUCAUGCUAAAAGCGACAGACUGGAGAGCUUCUCCAGAAGAGGGAGAGAGUAAAUAAGAAGAGGGUUUUUGGUGAGGCUGCCAUGGAAGGAAGAUGAAAAGCCAGUUAAUGUAUUGCCUUGGGUCAUGAUAAAUUCAUUGUUUUUUUAUUUUGUCUUUACUUAUUUAUUUGAAUUGAAAUAUCACUGAUUUACAAUGUUGUGUUAGUUUCGGGUGUAUGGCAAGGUGAUUCAGUUAUACACACACAUAGGUAUACGUGUAUAUGUACACAUAUAUGUAAAUUUUUUUGGUCUUUUUAUCUUUUUUUAGGGCUGCAUCCAUGGCAUAUGGAGGUUUCCAGGCUAGGAGUCCAACUGGGGCUGUAGCCACAGGCCUCUGACAGAGCCACAGCAGCACCAGAUCCGAGCCAUGUCUGUAACCCACACCACAGCUCAAGGCAACACCAGAUCCUUAACCCACUGAGCGAGGCCAGGGAUUGAACCUGUGUCCUCAUGGAUGCUAGUUGGGUUUGUUAACUGCUGAGCUAUAACAGGAANNNNNNNNNNNNNNNNNNNNNNNNNNNNNNNNNNNNNNNNNNNNNNNNNNNNNAAACACACACACAUAUAUAAAAUCUUAUAUAUAAAAUCCUAUAUAUAUAAAAUCUUACACACACACACACACACACACACACACACACAAAUCUAUUCUUUUUCAGAGUCUUUCCCAUUAUAGGUUAUGGUAAGAUGUUGAAUAGAGUCCCUGUGCUAUACAAUAGGCCAUUGUUGGCUAUCCAUUUUAUGUAUAGUACUGCAUGUAUGUUAAUCCUAAAAUCCUGAUAUACCCCUCUCCCUUCCCACUUACCCUUUGGUAACCAUAAGUUGGUUUUCUAUAUCUAUGAGUCUUUUUUGGGGGUGUUUUUUUGUUUGCUUUGUUUGGGGGGGCACCGCUGUGACAUGUGGAAGUUCUUGAGCCAGGGAUAAAAUUGGCACCACAGUCAUGACCUGUGCCACAGCUUCAGCAGUGCUGGAAGGAACCUGCUGCACCACAAGAGAACUUCUUCUGUUUUAUAAAUAAGUUCACAUGUCAUUUUUUUUCAGACUCUGCUUAUAUAUGUGAUAUCAUAUGGAAUUUGUCUUUUUCUGACUUGCUUCACUCAGU
rnacentral:lncRNA from 1 species